ACCUCCUCCCCGAGCCCGCUGCCGGUCGCUUUCUCCCCAUCGCGCCGCCACCCGACCUCCUCCCCCCAUGCGCCGCCGACCGGCCUACUCCCCCCCGUGCCGCCGCCCGACCUCCUCCCCCCACGCGCCGUCGCCCGACCUACUCCCCUCCGUGCCGCCGCCCGACCUCCUCCCAUCGUGCCUCCGGUAGGCCUCCUUCGUACCACGCCGCCGCCCGGCCUCCUCCUCGAGCGUGCUGCCGCCCUGCCCUAUCCCCAUCGCCGGCAGCGUCUCCGUUCAGCUCCGGCCGCCGCCCUCCCUCCGACCACCAUGGCUCCAACCACUCAUUCACGCAAGCAGGAUCCCCCCUGAUUCAGCUGUUCUCCUCCACUCUCUAGAUCAGGUUCGUCCCCGUAGACCCCCUGCUCCUGGGCGUCUCCAUCCCUUCUCAAUCUCCCACCAAAUGUGCUUCCAGGUUGUGCCUGCAAGUAGUCAUGGAGACUUUCUUUCUCCAUAGUCUGUGAUUUGGGCUACUGCAAGUAAAAAAGUUCACCAUGUGAGAAGGAGUCAGUGCAAUAUACUGUAGGUAAGAUGUUCAUCUUUUGCGUGACCAAAAAAUUUCAUCUUCUGAAGGUUGAAGACAAAUGGGCUAUGAAGCUUUAGAUAAAAAUGAUUUGUUUCUGUAUCUAUAUUCUAGUAUUCAGCAUGAGCAGAAAGUUUGCUCCUUCGCCUCUAGCCACCGGUAGUUCAUUGUCAGUACAGGCUCUGAAACUGUCAGUACAGUCCGUUCACCGCUGACACACGAGGCCGUUCAACAAUGCAAUGAUGAGGUCUGGACUUUCCCUUGACUCUUUUUAUGUAGCAUUUUCUGAAAAAUAUCACACUUUCAACUGCCUCAAGAGUUCAAAAGUCUAAACAAACAAAAGCUGAAACUAAAGUUCAGGAACUGUUUCUUUCAGAAAUUGAACUAUUGUAAAGAUUGUAAAUUGAAGUGUUUGUUCUUCUAGGUACUGGCACUACAAAAUACAAAGACACUUAGUUUCUAUUAAUUAUUUUAGUUCAGUUCAAUUUCUUGUUUUAGUUCAGGUCAAUUCUUAUCUUAAGUUUCAGCUCGGUUCAAUUCUUAUUUUACACUUCAGUUCAGUCCAAGCUUUGGCAGAUGACGGCCGUGCCAAAUCUAUAGUGGCAACAAGAGGGUCAAGUCGCUGUGGUUGGAGGACAGCACCCUGCUGCUGCUCUGCAUUAGAUACAAGCGCCGCAUCGAGCGGCUGUCCUCUACUGUGACACACGAAUAGCUACUGCUGCAUCAGUAUGUGUGUGUUGCCGCAUCAGUACGUGUGUGCUGCCGCAUCAGUACUGAAACUCUACCUCGGACGAGCCCAUGCGGGAACCGUGGCCUCCACCACGUUUGGUCGUCUCCGUCCUUGUUAUCUUCUGUACAGUGUGUUGUCGACUCCUUCGUUUCAAGCCAGUUUCUGGCCGACCACAUACUGCUUGAACUGAUGAGCUUGAACUACAUGUGCUGCUACCAUUUUGUGUUACUUGAACGGCCGCCCUGGCAUCAUCAAAAUCUUGAUUUAUUGGGUGGGCAAGGCAUGUCAUGCAGGGUAGCUGGAAGGGAGGGGAAGCUCGUUGCCUUGCCAUGGUUCUAGCGGGAGCCGGGCGGGCUGGUGUACACAGAGGAUAGAGGCCCUGGCCUCGUACGACCAGGUUUGUAUCGAUACUCCGGCCAACUCCAUUGAUCUUCUCAGUAAAUGCUCCACUGGUAACUCCAUUCGAAGUUUUGUCAAGUUUGAUUGCCAUGCUCUAGCCUCACAUCACAUUUUUUUCCAGUUCUGCUCAUACUGUAAGUUUGUUGAAACCUACCUAAUAUAUAGCUAAUUCAACAUCCGACAUAUCUGCUGUAAUUGUGUGUCCACACCCUCAUAUUCUUGUACAAAAAAGAAAAUGAAUGUUAGAGUGGGUGAUUAAAAAAUCAAUGUUCUUCUGUUAUUCGAGUAGGCACCUGAAAAAAAAUGUUCAUCUUGGUUAGAUGAACCAAAUGGGCUGUGUAGUUCUUCUGUUAUUUGAGGAGGCACCUGAAAAAAGUAAACAGAAUAAAUAAGAUGGCAGUAACAACCGGGUUGACUUUUUGUAAUUUUCUGUGUACGAUUGCAGUACCUUUUGUAAGAAAACACAUGGUACUUUGUAAAAAAACAUUCUGAAUCUAUUUGGACUGACCGUUCAGUUGGCAGCGUUCAUGCUGCUGCAAAUGUGGUCGUUGGGGCCAGUCAAUUGGAAGAUCUGUAGCUCCUCAGUCCAACUUAUUGCUUAGCUACCGACCACUCAAAAAAUAGUAGCAUGCAGGCCACCCCGUGCUCCGCCCCCUGAUCCGGCAUUUUUGCAGUUCAACAGGGGCGCGGGGUUCAGUUUGAUGACGAUGAGCUAGGCAGCUGGCCUUCGCAUCACGAACUGGUGUCUUAGUACAACCCUACGCUACAAGGCACGCGUACAUCCACUUCAUGUGUUAGUAAAAAGUAUUGUGCAUUUGCUUGGCAGCUUUGCACUCUAGAUACAUCACUUGGUAAAUCAAAAAUAUUUUGUUGUUCACUUUUUGUGUUUUGUUCAAUAAUUCUCAUGCUUUCUUUCGUGAGGGCUACAAAUCAUAGUGCUUAAAAUACCGAUGGGUCUGUCAUACUUGAAUUAAAAAAGUUACAGGAGAAAGUACCCUAUUCCAUUACUUUGAGAAGUAUAAGUAGACCUUUCUAAAUAGUACAGUGCAGACCCGGUGUUGCCCUGCACAAAUGGAGUCUUUAGCUCACCACGCUACCUCCUCCCGUCGGUGGGGCUCCGUCGUUGCAGCGCCCCAGCCGUUCACUGCUGCCAAACCAGGCCGUUUAACAGACAGCGUCGAGCCAUUCGACACCGCAGCUUGGGAGGCUACCUGUUUUGCUGUCGAUGUUGUCUAAUUUCACUAGUGUCCUGUUUUGCUGUCGAUCCUGUCCUCGGUGUCCAUGAGCACGAGCACCCUGUAUCCGGUGGCGAGAUGAAGGCCACCUGUGAUCCCUGCUUCCCGUCAUCACCUCCACCUCGUGUGAGUUCACUGCCGAGAACAAGCACGACCACCUACAGUUCCUAGUUGUAGCCUUGGCCACCCCUUGGCCACGAGCUCGUCCACCAUGGUUACUGGCAGUCGUCCAAGUGGAGCGCGGACAUCAGUCCAAGUAGAAUCGCAGCCACCAUCUUCACCAAGCGCUGCACGGUCGUCCAAGUUGAGGACACACAAUAGUCCAAGAUGAUGUAUGAUCACUGAUGGAUUCAGCAUCUUUUAUAUUAGUUUGAAUUAUGCAAGCCAAUUCUAUGGAAGCUUGCUGGCGAUGCGGCCAGCAUGCUUUUAGUAAUAACGGCGACCACAAACAGCAUUGGCAGCCAGCACAUGCACUACAUGCUCGACUGCUCCACACUACCGCCAUGGACAUAAACAACACAGUUUGGCAAAAAUAGAAGUUUGAUAUCAGUUCACCAUUGAGAGGUAGUAAGUGCGGAGCAGAAAAAUUGUAGCAGUUCAGCAAAAAAAAGUUUACAUGUACAAACGCUUCAGCAAUCAGUAGAAGGCCACUUGAUUUACUGUCUAAUCUUGGAGAUAAAUCCAAUAUCCUAAGUUUGUGAUGGCAGGUCACUCGUAUGACGGGUCCACGACGUAUGUUUCAGAAGAUCAGUACCAUCAAUACAAACAGAUCAGUACCAUCAUAACAAAAAAGUUAGGUUUUAAGUUAUGAAUAAGAAAUAACAAAAAAGUUCAUAAAAAACCCCAGAACACCCGGUAGUUCUUGAAUCUGGGAGUUCAGGAAAAAAUGAUCCAAAAUGAGCAUCGGGAGGGUUUGAAAAAUACAUCAUGAGCAAGGAUUUAUUUCAAGCUCACUAUUUCGGCUAUAACUACAAAAAUUGAUCUCUGUACUUAUUCAUUCUGUCACUCGAUAGUUCUAUGGCUGUUAUGAUAUGAGUUGGCAUGCAAUAACUCUUGGCAUUCUUCCAUAAACAAUGAAGGGAAUGCUAAAAGGAGGGUAUGUUUUCCAAGCUGACAUCUGCAAGCCCUCAGUAGGAUAGGCAAAACGCAGAGAUAAGUUUUGACCCUGAAAACUGGUAAGUUCGAAGAAACAAAUUCAGUGUUAUACAUGCUCUGUACUAGAACUCUUGGAUGAUUACAUUUUUCUGAUGCUCUAGUGGACCUUAUGAUUGCAGUAGAGUUGGGCUUCCUUGUAUUCAAGUGCUCGCAACUAAGCUUCACUUCUUGUUUGUUUGAAUUAACUGGUAAAACUGAAUAAUGAGAUGGAUGCAUUAAUUGGUAAACCAAUGUGUUCAUGUGCCUAGGUUAGCAGUUGAUUCACCAUUUUUUGCAGGUCCAGACGUCUCAAGCUGCUAAGGCCUACAUCUCCCUGCCAAUGUCCGAUCGCCUGUGCCGACAUGGUCGUGGAGUGCCCUGGCCGAUCACAACCACCACCGCAGGCUGUUCUACGCCACCUCCGUAGGCGGUUCAUCGUAGCAGCGACCUGGAUCCCACUGGUUCCCACUAGCGACAUCCGUUCGAGCACAUCGUCGCUGUCCUGCAGCAGCGUGGCUUAGCUACUGCACUUGGUUGAGGUCAGAGCCUUUCGAGUUGUCAAGCCCAGCCAUGGCGUGCGUCCGCUGAACGACGACAGCUUCGUGUGCGUUCCUGCAUGUGCUCAUGUGUUGUACUGGUGUGGGUUGUGCGUGUGCUUUUCUUAUUCUAAUUGUAGUUUUCACCUGGAUGUUUUUCUGAGACAUUCAAGUAUUACUGUCUAAAAGGUGUAGUUAUGAACUCACCCAUGGAUUCAAGUUACUCACGCUGCUGGCUCUUGGUGCUAGAUGAAAUGAAGUACUCUUCAUGCAAA